UCCGAGCAAGACGAGGCGCAAGAAUAGAGGUGGUCCUGUGUAAGACUGGGAGAAGCAGGUGAAGGAAGGGCUUUUGAGGAGAUGAGCCUGGUGCCUCUGCCACGCCAGCUGUCCCCUCCCGUGGGAUACGGUGUGGAUGGUGCCAGGAUGCUGGCUUGGGGAGGAGGGUCACCCCGCCCUUCGGGAGCUCUGGGUAUGAGUGUGUCGCAGGCAGUGAUGCUGCUUGUCCCCAACUGCGAAUCAAUUUCUCCCACAUGGACACUUCGGAGGCAGCGCUGGUCACCUGCACUGGCCCACAGGAAUGGUUCCAGUCAAUAUAUUUUUACACAAACAACGGAUGAGUAAGAAGGGUGGUUUGAGAUGGUGACAAACACUCAGAAGACAACCUCAUAGGGUGACACGAGAGGAACGGCUGGAGGGAGCUUGGGGCCACUUCAGAUAGGGCACGCAGGGCGCAGAGCAGAGCCCUAAGGAGGUAAACAAACCAGCAGUGACGAUGUCUGAGACGUCAGUUUCCCAGAGAAGAAAAGGCUCCUGGAGAGGCCCCCAGGCAGGAAGCAGCUGGCUUGCUCUGGAACAGGAAGGAAACCAGAGAGGCUGGGGAAUGAUCAAAGGUGAGUAUGGCAGGAGGUGGGUUUGAGGAUGCUGCCAGUGGCCAGAGUGGGACUUCUAGGCCGUGAUAGAGAGUUUGGACUUCAUUGUUCAGUGAAGUCAUUCCAGUGAAGGAGGGAUGGGAUCCAAACAGCCUUUUUUGCAAGAUCGCUCUGGCUGUCGAGAGGGGAGUGGAUGGUAGCGGAGGGAGCGUGGGAGCAGGGAGACGCUUCAGGGGGCUGUGCUGUCAUCCAGGCGAGGGAAGGAGGUGGCACAGGACAGGGUGGUGACAGUGGCGGAGAAGGAUUUGGAUGGCUCUGAUGCACCGCAUCCCCGGAAACUGGACAGGGACUUGGGGUGCAGUGGGACACAGACACUGGCCCAGAGGAGCAGCACAGGGUGAGGGGCCUCAGCCCCCAUCUCUCCCCCGCUGUACCCUAGCCGGGCCCCCCCAUGUACCCUGGGAUGAAUACUGACUUUGAGAGAUGGCAAGGGAAUCGGAUAGAGGACUGGGCAGGAAAGCGCUUUCUAAACUGCAGCCUGGAAGCAGUAAGAGAAAUGACUUUGAGGACAUUCCAGUCAAGGGAGACGUGGCCACGGAGCCCAGCCGUGACUUGGCUGUCAUUCUUGGGUACGGGCUUAUUGUGUCCCCUCAAAAUACAUAUGUUGUAGCCUAACCCCCAAAGGGAGGGUACUUGGAGGUGACUGGGUUUAUGUGAGGUCGUGGGAUGGAGCCCCUAGGAUGGGGUUGGUGCUCUUGUGAGAAGGCAGAAAGGACUUUCUUCUCUCUCUCUCUCUCCUUCCACCCUUCCCUCCCUCCCUCUCUCUCUCUGUC
rnacentral:lncRNA from 1 species